CUUCUGCAAGUCCACAGACUGAAUUUUCUGCAGUGAACGGGGCUACUCUUCGUUAUGGUGCUCAGACUUCUCAUUGUGGUGGCUUUUCUUGUUGCUGAGCAUGGGCUCUAGAUUGUUUGUGCUUUGUGUCUCCCUGCUGCACCGUCUUUGUCAAUGUUACUAGCUGCAUUUCAUAUCCUAUUUUAUAGGACUGUUGUCUUUUUACAAUACCCAAUAUGUAACCAGGCCUCCAACAAAACUUCUAUGGCUAAACAUCUUAAAGAAAUAGAUCACACUUAUAACAUAAAGUAAUUGUAGUGAUGUGAUUCUAGGUAUGGGAAGAAGCAACAAGGGAAAAUGUCUCCUGGAUUAUAAUUAGACAGAGGAUCCAGAGAAUCUUUAAUUAUCAAUAGGGCUUAAUCCAAAAAUUAGCACCUGGAGUGGCAUAUCAAGAGUUUUCACCUGACCUGGGAUGAGUCUCCCAGCACCAUGGGACAAAAUUUGACCAUGAAAUGUCUCCCAAAUAUUGAUCAAAUUCAUGACCAAGAGGAGAGGAUCAGUCAUCAGCGGGCUCAGCCCUCCAACAUGAGCCAGUGAGCCCUGAGCAAACUCAGAAUGUAAAAAUACAGGAUUCAGGCCCCAGACAGCUGUGGUACAUAUGAAAAAAUGAUUUCAGUAAGCCCAGACUCUUGCAUCUUUCCAUACAUAGAAAAAUGCUAAAUUCCUUAACUUGAGAUGCAGCCUCUUGGGCUUGAAGCCCUCAAAAUUCCUGAUAACUCUCAACUUUUAGGUUGUGAAUAUUUUAAAAUCUACGGGUGAAAAGUAGACACGAAGUGGAACAAAAGACAAAUCUCAACAUUUGGAACACUGACACCAAUGGCGGACACUCCUGGAAAGAUCCAUCUGCCGGGACAGAACGUUGUCACCCCUUCUUCCACAAGAUUGUGGACACUGACCAUGGGGAACGGUAACAGGGAAGAGCUAAAUCGGACUCCCUGUUGGAUCUGUUUCUUUGACGUUAACCUUUGCUUUCCAAUGCUUUUUUUUUUUUAAAUUAUUUAUUUAUUUAUUGGCUGCAUUGUCUUUGUUGCUGUGUGCAAGCUUCCUCUAGUGGGGGCUACUCUUUGUUGUAGUGAUCAGGCUUCUCAUUGCAGUAGCUUCUCUUGUUGCGGAGCAUGGGCUCUAGGCGUUCGGGCUUCAGUAGUCGUGGCAUGAGGGCUUCAGUAGUUGUGGCUCACGGGCUCUAGAGCACAGGCUCGGUAGUUGUGGCAUGCAGGCUUAGUCGUUCUGCAGCACGUGGGAUCUUCCUGGACCAGGGCUUGAACCCCAGCCCCCUGCACUGGUAGGCAGAUUCUUAACCAUGUGCCACCAGGGAAGUCCCUCGUUGCUUUUGUUAUUACAGUCAUACAUAAUGGCCUGCCUCAGAGAACGCUGCCCACCUGUGAGUGGCUGCAGAAAAGAAGAAAUUAACACAUCCCUUCCCCAGGCUAGUCAUUUCAGGAGAUGUUUUUGCAAGACUGAUGGCACUUUUACUUUACUUCCUCACCGCCUCUCCCUCUCUAUUCUCCCUCUCUGAUUCUAUUAAAAAAACUGGCCUCCAGACCCCGAUAAGAUGGUUUUGUUUGGAGACACUAGUCUGCCAUCUUCUCAGUCUGCCGGCUUUCCAGAAAGUCCUGUUCCUUGCCUCAGCACCUUGUCUCCGAUUCAUCAGCCUGUCGUGCGGCAAGCAGAGCUAGCUUGGUCUCAGUAAUGUUAGGAUGUUCUCUAUCACUGAGACCAAAUCAGUGACGUUAGGAUGUUCUCCAUCACUGCAUACUUCUACUUUGGAACACAGUUCUCUCUGUUGUCUCAUGGGGGCGCUCCAACAACUCUGUGAAGUGGGCCCAUUUCAUGGGUGGAAAAAGUAAGGCACAGAGUAUUUGGUCAGGGUCACAAAGAAAGUCACUGAAGCAUUACAGAGUAUGAAGUAAACUACUAUAAUAGUAUUGGUAACACACUGAAGCACAAUGAGAAUCCAGUCAUGCUUUCUCUUGCCCUGAUCUCACUAAACCAGGCUUUUAGGGGCUUAUAAGCCAUUUCUUGUUGCCAAGCCUACCACUCUACUCUGUCCUUGCAUAAAUCAGAGCCUAGCCUCUGAUGUGAGGAAUAAUUUAUCUCUGCCCACGUAGAAGACAAAGUUGUUACCCUGAGUGACAGUCAUGACAGAAUAAAACCACGAGACCAGAUCGAAUUUAUGGAUAAAUAUAUUAGCAAAUAAAUACAUUUCUCAACAUAGUGCCUGAUUCA